AUAAACCAGUCUACUUGUUACCUGAAGGGCGUGGUUAUAUUGGGGCCAGUGAAUCUGCCGUUUACUCACCUUGUUCGUAACAACGCUCACCUGCUCUCACUUUGUCUCUUUCCCAUUGCUCUCACACACAAAAACACGUCCCAGAGAGGAGAAACUACCAAGAGAGAAGAAUCAUGUCGGUGGAAGUCCACAUAGAAUAUUGUAGUGGAUGAGGGUACGAGUCUCGCUAUCAGGACCUAGCAUCUGCCAUCAAGUGGAACGUUCCUGAUGUGACGGUGACGGGAACCACGGGGCGGCGCUCCAGUUUCGAGGUAACAGUGAAUGGUAAACUGGCCUACUCUAAACUGGAGGCAGGAGGAUUCCCAGACACCAAGGAGAUGGUGGCGAUGGUGAAGGAGGUGAGCCGUGGAGGAAAGGUAGAGAAAGUGAAGAAGAAGGAUAAUAAGUGUUUUCUCCAAUAGAUGAGUGGUUAUUGAGAGAAGGAGAGUGUUUUUUUAAGAUCCUGGGUCCUGAACUGAUUCUAUUAAUGAUUGUUCACAAUGAAACUAGGGAUGUGAACAUGAUGAAGUCUACAGUCAUUUCAACUCUGUGAUCUGAGGGAAAUACUCUCAUCCUGUGUCUCUGUGUUACACUGUCAUGUCUUAUGUUAUUCCUUGUCUGUUUUUCUUUCCUUAUACAGACCAAGAUAUGACUUGCAUUUAGUUUUACAUUCUAGAAAUAUUGUACUCGAUGAAGACCUCUGCAGUUGUAUAGGCUGUACGUGUAUUUUUAAAUGAUCAAAUCUAUUCUAGGAAUCAAUUAGUAUUGAGUUUGUGUGUUGGGAGGGUGCUGUUGGACAUUUACAAUAAUGCUGUUGGACAUUUACAAUAAGGCUGUUGGACAUUUACAAUAAUGCUGUUGGACAUUUACAAUAAGGCUGUUGGACAUUUACAAUAAGGCUGUUGGACAUUUACAAUAAGGCUGUUGGACAUUUA